UCGUGAUUAUAACCUGAGAGCAUUCAGUUCUAGAACUACAGACAGAGCCACCGAUUAAAAACAGGAUGUGGGUGAAUGCUCUACUGGUGGGGAUUGUGCUUUAGGAUGACAGCCCUUUCUCAAGACGAGAGACAGAGCACAAGCAAGGGAGGGGCAGAGAGAGA